rnacentral:tRNA from 1 species
GCCUUGGUGGUGAAAUGGUAGACACACAGGACUUAAAAUCCUGUGGGAGCAAUCCCGUGCCGGUUCGAGUCCGGCCGAGGCACCA